rnacentral:misc_RNA from 1 species
UCCGGUUUGUCACCGGCAGUAUCCUGUGAGUCCCCGGCCGAGCCGCUGGCAACAUAGGAUAGGGGUUGCGCUCGUUGCGGGACUUAACCCAACAUCUCACGACAUGAGCUGACGACAGCCAUGCAGCACCUGUGUAAGCUGGUAUUGCUACCUCGUCACUCUUUCAAGCUUCUACUACCUACAUGUCAAGGCCAGGUAAGGUUCUUCGCGUUGCAUCGAAUUAAGCCACAUACUCCACCGCUUGUGCAGGCCCCCGUCAAUUCCUUUGAGUUUCAGCCUUGCGGCCGUACUCCCCAGGCGGGGUACUUCCUGCGUUAGCGCCGGCACCCAAGGGGUCGCUCCCCCAGGCACCUAGUACCCAUCGUUUACGGCGUGGACUAC